GAUAAAACCACUUCAACAGUUAGCAGAAAGUCGUGGAAUUGCACUAUUUGCAAUUGAUGAAGUCCAUUGUGUUUCUGAGUGGGGCCAUGAUUUUCGGCCUGACUACAGGUUUCUUUUAACCAUGUCCAUUUCAGUACAGAGGAAUUCCCAGAUAAAUCUAAAUAAUAUGUUUAUGAUUAGCAUGAAAAAGUACUCUGUGAUUCCAGCUUAAAAAAAUUAUGCCACUCAUGUUAUCGACAUAUUAGCGAGUAGCAACAAGUUAUUAUUUUCUCUUGCCUGCCUUUGCUCAACCUUUGAGUUUCUAUGUCCACUCUUUCAGGCGUCAACCUAGUUUAAAAAUGGAUGAUUAAUUUUUUUUUUUUUUUUCCAGUCUAUGAGACAUGUAUUCAAACGUUUCGGGAGAUUGUCUGAAUUGCGAGAAAACUUCAGUGCAAGCUGUUUGAAAUUCUUAAAGUUUGAUGUGCCUAUAAUGGCAUUGGCUGAAACCGUCACAAUUCGGGUUCGAGAACACAUUCUCAAGACAUUGACCAUGUCAAAUGAAACAAAGCUUGUGCUUGCUUCAUUUUUCCAGGAAAACUUGAGGUUUUAGGCGAGUUUCAUCUCCACCCUCCCUGCCCACCUCCCCUUUUCCUCAUUUUCAUUUUUUAGUAUGGUUUCAGAAGUAUUUUCACAAGAAGAUGCAUUUUUUGAAAUCUGCAACUGAAUAAUACAUGUCAUCCUGGAUGAAUUCUUUUUGUCUUUUACCUGCAUGCUUUUUAUCUUGCAUUUUGUCUCUGUGCAUCAAUAAUCGUUACAAAAGAAAAAAGUUAUGAUUCAUUGCUGCUGUUUAACAGGUAAAAUAUGGUAUAACUUCUGCAAAGUCUUCUUAUGAGAAGGAUCUUCUCACAAGAAUCAAACAAUAAGCCUGAUACUUGUGAUAAUAAUAGCAUGUUGGUGGAAUCCCCAAAAAGGCUGGAAUAAAGACUACAAUGCAUACAGGAGACUUACCAACAAUAAUAUAUGUUUGAACUCAAUACGAAACACAUAGCAUCACAGACUGUCUAUGCAGUUGUGAUGUUAAAGCUGCAUCCUAUAAUACAGCCAUAUGUCUAAGGUGUAAUAAUCUUUGAUAAUACCAUAUGUAUGCUCGCCCUUUGUUCUGUUACAAUCCAAUAUAUGGUCCUCAAUCUAAACCAACCUCUUUCUUGAGGAAUAAUUCAUUAUUAUAAAUAUGCAGCCAUUUGCAAUAGCAACUUGCUGAAAAGUGAUUGGCUGCACAAUCAUUUUUUUUCCAUUGGAAAUGCCAUAGGAUGCAAUGAAAAUCUUAUCUUUCAGGAACUUAUUGGAGUUGGCUGAUGAUACCUUAUAGUUGUCCCAUUUUGCCAUUUCAUUAUGAAAUACUACCCUCCGUAUCAUUGCAGUUAAUUUAGCAAUAUUGUACCUAAAAUACUUGCUGAACUAAACAUGUUCCAUGCUACUUCUCUCCGUUUGACAAAACUAAUGAAGCUUCAUAAAAAAUUUCAUGAAAGCAAAUUGCAGGUAUUAGUGUUCGACUUUCAUGGAUGAUACCAGAAAAUACAAUCUAAAAUAUAUUGUAUAUGAAAAUAUCAUUCUGUAGUGCAUAGCCAGAUUAUUAUUCUAAAGCAUGCUGGAUUUUAUAAGCUCUAAAGAAUUAUCCACUAUGGUUAACUCAUCUCCAGGUUGUAGCAACAAUUGCUUUUGGAAUGGGAAUUGACAAGUUAAAUGUCCGAAGAAUUAUCCACUAUGGUUGGCCAAAGGUGAUCCUAUUAACUUAGUUCUGCUAACUUGUUAGUGUCUCAUCAUAUAUUACAGCUGUAUGAAUUGUGGUAAAUAAUCUCUCAAAUGUUGUUUUAUUUUCACCCAAAAACUAGGUUUUUUUGUGUUGGGGGAAAAUUUCUGACACUUCUUUCCUCCUAAGUGACCAGUGUUUCGAUCUUGGAUGCCACUUUUUAAUCCCCUUAUAAUUGUUUUCAGAUAUUUGUUCUCGUAUCUCCUUUUAACAAGCAAUUUUUUAUAGAGUCUGGAAUCAUACGAUUAACAAGCAGGUCAAGCUGGAAGGGAUGGAAAUUAGCUGAUUCUGAUUGUAUUCUAUUCGCAAACCUAAUGAAAAGCCAUUUCUUUCUCGGUGAGAAAGAAGUGAAAAGCAGAAAAAGCAAGCAUAUAAAAUGUUAGAAAGAAGUGAAGAGCAGAGAAAGCUAGCAUAGUUGCCAGAUUGCUUCAGGUAUGGAAUGAAUACUUCAGGUUGUCGGGGCUAAAAAGCUAGUGGAGUAUCCUGGAGAGGAAUUCACUUCUGAGAAGUGACUCCUGUGUGAUGUGCGUGUUAAUGGACCUCCAGAAAAGCAGGAUUUGAGAGAGGAGGCAAAUAUCCUUAAUGCAGGUUAUUGCUGGGUAUUAUUCUCAAAAAUUCAUGUCAACUGAUCUGCUCUGGUGGAAAGGCGAUUUUCGCAAAUUUUGGAAAGUAAGGUUUCAUCAAAGAGGGAGACGAUGAGGUAUAUAUACUAUUUCUUUUUAGCAAGUUCAAUUUCUUCUCCUUUGCAAAUCAGCCUCUAAUUUAUUAAGCCACAUAAUUUUACUAGAAGAUCAGUCAAACCAAAUUGGUGUGUCCAAGCUACUUCUUGACUAAAAUGUUAGCACCAGUGUAGCUAGAUUGAAUUUGUGAUCUCAAUGCCGUUAAGCAAUAAAGUAAUUCUUAAAGUUUUUCAGAAACAAUGAGAAAAGAAGAAAAAUGUUAAAGGAAACAAAUUACUAGUGGAACUGUUAUAUUGUUACGCAUCUUUACUUUUGUUGAGAGAUUAAAAAAAAAAUGCCAUGUACUUAAUUGUUCCUUCAUAAUUUGAAGUGACUUUUUAUAGGUCCAUUCCUUUGGAUGUGAAAGCAUAAUACUGGUAGUUAUCUAAAUUUCUGGGUCUCUAUGUCUCUUUCUUUUUUAUUUUUUUUUUUUGACUGUAAUAUUUUCGUCUCAAAUCUGUGCUCGGUUAAAGAAUUGAGAAUGGAGGCUUUGCAGCAAUUCAAGAAGGAAAUUUUUAUGUUUACCCUGAAGCAGAUAUGCCAAUAAAGCCAACAACAGGGUCAAAAAGAGAAUAAAAAAAGCGAUGGAAAAUAUCAAGUAUAAAUGUUUAAGAUAUGAGAAGUUUUCGUAGAAUAGAAGCAAUACGAGCAAUGCUUAGAAGAAACUGAGAAAAGAAGUCUUAAAAUACAGAACCAGUGAAUUAUUGACACUCUCAAUUAUGUAAAAUGA